CAAUGUCAGAUCUCAUUUCUCUGAUGAUAAGGAUUUAGAUAAGUAUGUGGUGCUUCAGGUCAAGUGCUUGUCAGGUUCACUGCUCCCUUCUGGGAAGUCUCAGAAUGCCUGCCAGGCUCACACUCACCUAAAGCAUAGGUCAUUGUACUCUGUGCUGUGUGAGGUGACUACUAGAUUAAUUCCUUCUGAUUAGCUUGUGCACAGGUCCCAAGGAAACAUACCAUGAACAAGCUAGAGCCACAAUGAAGAAGAAAGGGGAGAUCAGUGAGCACUAGCAGGAUAAAUACGAUAGAAUCAAGCCCAUUCCCAAUUUCCCCCUCCCUGGACUCGUACUUUUAAUACACACAUUCAUCUAUAAUUCUUUUAUUCAGUAUAGGACAGAAAGAGCUAGAGAGAGAGAGCACCCUUUGUCUUACUCAUGUGCCUUCUAAAUAUAAGCAUUGUCACUCAUUUUAUUUUUUUCCCAAGUGCUUCUUAUUCUUUAGAGCCAGCUCAGUUUAAUUUAUCAAUGAAACAUACAACAAUGACUGUAUUUUAGAUGUAUGAAAGUCAUCUGGAACUUAACAUAUCACAAACAUCUCCUGAUUUCCUCCCUGCCAAUAAAGUCUUCUUCCCAUAGUCCACUUAUCUAGUUUGAUGACAAAUCAGCUCUUCUAUUUUUCUGGGUCCAAACUUGGAUGAUCAGCCUUAAUGGCUAUUUUUUUUUUCUCUCUUACGUUCCAUAUUCAAUCAACUCUUCUAAAUAUAUCCAGGAUAUAAAUUCUUCUCAUCCCCUCCACUGCCAGCAAUCUGGUGAGGGCCUCUUACUUGGUUUUACUGAAAUAGCUUCCUACUGAUACCCCUCUUUGUCUUUGCCCCAUUCAGCAGUCAGCAUGGUCAAGUUAAAUGGUGAGUCAGGGCCUGUCAGCUUCUGUUACUCGGCUCAGCACCAUAUGAUGCUUUCAUAAUCAGGGUAAAAUUUGAAGUGCUUACAAUGGCUUAUAACACCUUACACAGUUUGUUCACUGUUCCCCACCUCUUUACCUCCGUUAAUACUUUUAAAUGGGUAACACUGGUUUGAUUACUAUUCUGUGAAUUUGCCUGCCAUAUUGUCUCUAUCUGGGGCUCUUCUUUGGGAAGAAGAGGAGUUUGGGUCCUUUCCCAAGCCCCUCCCUAAUGAGAACUUUCCCAUCUGAAAAUGCAGCAUACUCACAUGUCCAUAUCCCUAUGCUCCUUCUCCCUCUUACUUGCAUUAUUUUUCUCCUUAGCAUUUUCCCAUCUACUGUAUAUUGUACUUGAUCUGUUGAAAUAUGUAGAAUCAUAGGUGACUUAAAUUUUUUCUAACUUCUGCAUUUGUCAAUUUUAAACAAUAAAAAUAUUUAGAGGAAGGAGGAAUCACUAUGGGCUGAGAGGGGCAGGAAAGUCAUUGUGGAGGAGAAAAAAAUGUUGCUGCAUCUUGCAAGCUUGGCAGUCUGUCUGAAGAUAGGGAGAGAGCAUCCUAGGUCAUAAUAAAACAUGUACAAAAUAUGGAGGGUACUUCGUGUAUAACUUAUUUUAGAAUCAGUGAAGAGAGUAGCCAGGCAAAUCUCAUUCAUCACCAAAAUGUAGAAUGCACAUUUAGAAACAGAUUGUACAAAACCUGAGUCAUUUUAGUCAUGUGUGUUUUUGAAUUGAAGAAUGCUAUGAAGAGAGCAGAGGCAGAAUUACUCUCCUAAAUUCUUCUAAAAUUUUGUUGGUCUUUUCCUUUCUGAUAUUCCCACAUAAUCCUUAGUGUUCGUAGAAACAAUUUGUGUACAUAUUCCAGUAGUUUAAUGUUCCUAAAUAACUCAUUUUAUGCUUUAGUAGAAAAAAUUCUGUUUCAAUUGAGUGGCAUAAUUAUCCGUUUCUAUCAAGAUCUAAUUUUCAAGUCAUUUCCAGUGAAAAUUUUUCUUUAAGUAUUUUUAGAUGGAAAAGGAGAAAAGUAAUUAAAAAUGAUCAACCUAGAAAUAAAGCUUUGCAGACAUAGAAAUACAAAGAAUAUUAAUAUUUUUGCUUUGUUUUAUUUGGCUGAAGAAUUGUCAAAAGAUUUCUAUUAUAAAUGAUUGUUUUAUGCUGAUUUUUAAAUCUCAUUUAUAUCACUUGUGUGAUUGGGUAGAAGAUGCCAUGUUUCAAAAUAUUUCUCAUGUUCCAUAAAUGUGUUUUUCCCAUAUGUGGUACAAGGCUAUGGUUUCAGUACUUGGCUGUGUCAGUUGAGGCUAGGUCAGUGCUUGGUAGUGAAAUGAAGAGAUGAGACAGAAGUGCCACCAGGCUACUCAGAUGUGCCCUGCCUACUUUGAACUGGGACCUUCUCGGUAAAGGGGUACCAGGCAUGUUAUACAGCUUGUUUAACAGUGGUUAAUUUUUAUUAAGGGACAAAUGAUAUAGUUGGAGAAAAGACCAUCUCAAACACUCUCUAUGGCAGAAUGUAGAAACAUUUUUAAAGUUAUAUUCAAAGAUUUGGGGGCAGGGCAGAGAGUCAUUAUUAUGGGCUAAAAAAAUAGAUAGGAUACUAGUACAAAUCCUAACAAAAAAGAAUAUCACUGAGUGAGGCAGAAUUUUGGGGUCUUUUUUCUCUCAUUGAAAGCUCAUCCUAUCCAUAAUGUUUCUAAUGAUUUUCUGCCAGUGCCUUCAUUCAGAAAGCUCAGUCAUUUCUAAUGUAAGAUGAAUACUCCUGCCCUUUGUAUUUAUGAAAUGGAAUAACAAAUGAAUGUGAGUUUAGUGGAUUCAUUAGGAUUUCUGGGAAAUACUUCCUUUUUAACACAACAGAGGAUGCAAACAUCCAAACACUUUAAUGUAAGGUGAUGGAGUCUCAUAUUAAAAUUAAAACACUCAAUGGAAAUACACACUUACAAAUAGGAAAAGGAAAAGAAAAGCAACUUAUCAGAAUGAUUGUUUAACUCUCAAUCAUACAGAACUAUGACAGAACUUUGUGUACGGUGAGUAGUUGGUAGCGAAGAGUCAGGGUGAAGCUUACGUUAGAGUCGGGGUCUAGUGGAUGAGAGAAUUGAUGAGGUUCAGUCAUAUACUUAAAUUAUUUUCUGAAUUAUCCUACAGUUUCAGGAGACCCUAGCACUGAAAAUGAAAAGGCAUCUGUAAAAUUUAUGACUCUAGAUUUACAGUAUAAAUGGUAGAAUUUUUAUCACCAGAAUCCUGGCCCUUCCCCCUUUUCUCUCUAGCUGCUUAUUCUUUACCCAACCUUCUCUUUGAAUUUCAUUUCUAUCCAUUCAGAUUUGAUCUUCUAUCUCCUCGUUACCCUAUUUUGUACAUCUUUAACUCUCUUGAACCUAAUUCCUCACUUUAAUUCAGCAACUUUACUUCAUCUUCUAAUUUAGACUGAGAAGCUAGAUUCUGAUGUGCAGUGUUUCUGCAUCUGCCAAAUUUUACCUCUUGAGUUAGUUUUCUGAUAAGAGGUGGUAAGCUGUCCUUGGAUUGCACCCUAGCUCAGCAUCAUCCUGGCACAGCAUAUCAUUAGCACUUGCCAGUGUCCCCUUCCUGACAGAAACUUCAAUAUUCAACAUAGAGGACACCCAGUAGAUAACAGCAAUCACCAACAGUCCACAUACGGUACACAUAUGCCACAUACGGUUUAAUCUCUCCAAGAACAGUUGUAAGUAUGCAGUUUUAAAUGUGUUGGGAUAGUAUUUUGAUGUACAAAUUACAUUUCCUAGUAUUUCCUGUUACCUUAUGAAAAUUUCUAUUUGGGGGCAGCUAGGCUUGUGACAAAGGUAGUACUGCAGAAUAAAAAAAGUGUCAAUUUUUGGCUUUUGAGUUUUGAAAUAGAUAUUUUGUGGUUCAUGGUAGAGAUGAAUAUUUGAAUUUCAACAGUCUUGGACACAGAAGCUACACUAUUCUGAAGACCAGAUAAAGAGCCAGGCUACCAAGCCCACAAAUUCAACAAAGACUCCAUGGACUGGGGAAGGGAGAAGAGAGUAAAAGGAAAUGUUUGUUAGGAGAGUAUCUCUGAGCUCCUGUCUUUCCCAUCCUUCUCACCACUGUCUUCUCUGAGCAUACUAAAGCCCUGGAGAACUUUAGAGAUUUGAGAUCAGAAGGAAUUUGUGGCUUUACCCAUCUGGAUGGAGCCCACUAGCCAAACAGAAGCUAUAGUCCCCAAUAGUCAUAGUAGGAUUACUAUACCAUUUAAUCAUCAAACCCAAGAUAUUUUUGAGGGCAAUAAAGGUAUGGAAAUAGGCCACAUAGUUUUUUAGCACAGCUCAGAGGGUGAAAAAUAUUCUCACAUAUGUGUUCUUGAGGAUUUAGAUCUCAAAUUAGAAAAAUAUAUAUUAACCCUGUGUAUACUGCUGUCAGUGAUAUACAUUUUUUAAAUAAUACAUAUGCUAAUUUUAGGUACCAUUUUGCAUAUAAACCUGAGUGUUCUCUUGAGCAUACAUGCUAGACUUAUAUAUGUGUCCUGUUAUCUUUCUUUAUUUUGGGAUAGUAGCAACUUUAUUGAAAAGCAUUAUUUUAUGUAGAGAAGGAUGCUAACCCUUCAACUUGACUGCAUUAGUCAACAGGACAAAAGUGUCACCUGCAGGUUUCUAACUAGUAUGAAUUCUGCAUUUCUCUCCCCAUUAAUCAUACUCUUUCUUUGAGAUGAUAAUGUUCUCACCCAUCAGAAAAAAGUAAAGGUUUAUAGCUUAAAAAAGUAUAUUAUUCUUCAGUCCAAGACAUUGCCAUAGGAAGACCCUGAAAUAGAACAAAUAGAAUGGACUGGUGGUUACUUAAUUUUUUUAAAAAAAGAAUGCGUUCAGUUUAAUCUAAGUGGACUGGCAAACAAAUGCUUUGCAUCCAAACUAACUGUCCUUGGGGUGGUUUUUAGAGGUAUUGUGAAUAUAUUAGAGAUUUCAAAUUAAUUUCAUAUUCUCAAGUUGGUUGUGUGAAAAGGAAAAUAAUUUCUAAUCCCUUUUUGGCAGAUCCUGAUGAAAUGUUUGGCAAAAAGCUGUAUAUUUCAUGAAGAUGGAAAUAGUUUACAUCAAAUUAGAGAAAUAGCAUAGGUACUGUUAUCAAUACAUGAUUAAAUUUCAGGUAUAUACAAAACGGCAACAUUUCUGACAUCCUUACUUUUUAGACAGUGCAUCUCUGGAAUUCUUAGUUUAUAUUCUAGUCCUUAUAUUAUUUAUUUAUUUACAAAGCAAUUUCUGUCUAGUAGAGACAGAUUUUCAUUCAUUGUUUGGGUUGUUUGCAAACAGUAUGCAAACCAUUAAAUUUAGUGACAUAAACAUUUCCCUUUCAGAUAUUCUUUCUUUCCUUUACAGAAGUGUUUGCUUGGCUUUUUUCUUUUAUAAUUUUUCAUUUUAAAAUGUUUUCUUUUAAAAUUUCUUUUUAAAAAUUUUAACAUGUUAAAAUAUUGACAACAUGUCAAAUUUAGAAAAUACCUUCGAAGUAAGCUGGUUCUAGUCGCCUCAUAUUUAAACUAACCUCCUUAAAUCAAUUUCCAGACUAGGAGAAAGGAUUUGAAUUAUUUUUUCUUAAAUUUGAUUAGAGUAUGGUUGAUUUACAGUGUUGUAUUACUUUCAGGUAUACAGCAAAAUGAAUCAGUUAUAUUUUUAUAUAUCCAUUCUUUUUCAGAUUAUUUUCCCAUAUAGGUUAGUACAGGAUUUUGAUUUCCCUUUGCUAUAUCGUAGGUCCUUCUUAGUUAUCUGUUUUAUAUAUUGUGGUGUGUAUGUAUCAAUCCCAAACCCUUCAUUUGUCCCUGCCCACCCCUACCCCCAGUUUUCCCCUUUGGUAAUUAUAAGUUUUGAUUUUGAGAAGUUCCCAUUGUGGCACAGCGGAAACGAAUCCUACUAGUAUCCAUGAGGAUGUGGGUUCAGUCCUUGGCCUUCCUCAGUAGGUAAAGGAUUUGGCAUUGCUGUGAGCUGUGGUGUACUUUGUACACACAGCUUGGAUCCUGCGCUGCUGUGGCUGUGGUGUAGAUCCCUAGACUGGAAACUUCCAUGUGCCGUG
rnacentral:lncRNA from 1 species